UUGUUGUACUUGUAUACAGAUUAAAUUUAAAUCUUUGCUGCAAGUUAUGCUGACAGAAUCAUGAACUGCGUCCUCCGCAACAAUGAUCAAUGAUGACAUCAUUAGUUCAUGGCUUGUGCCACCAUCUGAAGAAGAUGGGUGCUUUGGUGUUGAUGCAUUUGCGGGUGUCCCGCAAACGAUGAACCCAAAUGCUGCGCAGUCAGUAAAUCCCGGGGUAAAUGGUAUACCACAUGCAGCAGGUGUCGACCCAGAACCAGGUGUUGGUGAAGGAGUUAUUGCUUCGGGAGGAGGUAACAUGACCGCAGCUGAUGCUGCGGCUCGUGGGGCUGGGAACCCUGUAGGGAUGAACAUAACAUAUGAUGCUGUGGAAGAAUGUGAGUACCAAGCUGAUUUGUAGAUGCCGGUGGUCCUUCACGGGGAUCUCGUGGCGAAGGUGGCACUGGCUCAUCGGUUCGAGAAGUUUUAGGCAGCUCUAGCCUUGGAGUGCCAUCAUUUACUGUGACAGGAUUUGCAUUUGGAGUUGGGAUGUCAGUACGUGUGAAGGCUGAAAUUGGUGAUAACUUCCCUGGCACUUAUGGACCAAGUCAUGAGGAACCACUCGCAAGCCUGGUGCUGAAUUUCGUUGGACACAUGAUGAAUUGCAGUCCAAGGGAACUAGACAGGAAAUGGUUUAAGCACACAAGACCUACGCGUUGAUCUGAAUGGGUGGGACUUCAAGAUAGGGUUUGGACCUGCUGGCAGAAUAACUUUUAUCGGCUGGUCCACGGUGCACAGGAUGGUGAAGUAGCUUGAGUUCAAGAUAUAUGGAUAUUCUCCGAUAUGCUGGCGGCACAUCUUCGACCCUAGAUUUGCGUUGAUGAUGCUGCCGGAAUUCAUGGAGAGCUGGGCAUUGUAUAUUUUUGAUCCUGAGAAUAAGCAUAUGUUGGUUAUGGAUCCAGCCACAACCUUUGAUGGCGCAGACGUGAUGUGUGCUAAGCACGAGACAAAUGCUAAGAAAGUGUUGUAUGGCCUAGCCCGUUGAAUCAACGAGAACAUAUGGGAGGUCAGUGCAGCUAAUUCGCACAUCAGCUACCCUGUAGGCGCACACUUCAACUGUAUCAGUUGAGCUCCACAAAAACCCGUAUAAAGUGUUUAUGUGAAGGCAGAGCUGAGACUGCAGAAAAAAUUACAUUACAUAACCUUCUGUUUUACAGUGAGCAUAGUGGUAUGUACGAGCAUAGUGGUAUGUACAUCCGGGAGUACAAUGCUGUGCGGGGCGACAAGAGGUUGGGCAGUUUUCGGGAUGGGAAUAUUGCUGGUGCUGCGCCAGAGUAGCAUUUGCAGUCUCCGUCCUUUUGCUGAUGUAGUGAACUAAGUUACUAGAUAAUUAUGUACACCUGACUGAUUGGUUGUGUAUUAAGUCUGUUCAUGUGCAACAUGUGUUGAUGAAGAAGUGUUGUGUCUGUUUUACUUAGAGAGUUGAUUAUAUUGUUCUGAGGUACAAUUUGAUGUUGAGAGAAAACAAUGGUUUCCUCU